AAUAUUGUGGAAGCAAAUCCAAGCGUAAGAGUUUUUUUCCUUUUCUUGAUAAAAUUAUAUGGUUAUCAUAUUAAAAAUCAAGGAAAAAUAACAUAAUAGUCAAAGUAGAUACAAUACAAGAACAAAAGAAAAACACAGACCAUCCAACAAAAUUGAAAACCCAUAAAUAAAAAGAAUAGAAAGAGAAUCUUAAUUUUAUUUCAUGUAUACUAAUGAUCAUGAUUAUUGCAGACAAUUCCUUGUUUAUAAAUUGUG
rnacentral:misc_RNA from 1 species